AGCGUCAUUACACCACUCAAGCCUGGCUUGGUAUUGGGCGCCGCGCUUCGGCGCGCGCCCUAAUGUCUCCGGCCGAGCGUCCGUCUCUAAGCGUUGUGCAAACUCUCGCUGUCGAGCACGGGGGCUCCGCGCCGUUAAACCGGGCUCACGCCCAUUCUCAGGUUGACCUCGGAUCAGGUAGGGAUACCCGCUGAACUUAA
rnacentral:misc_RNA from 1 species